rnacentral:rRNA from 1 species
CCAGUUCGGAUUGCAGGCUGNAACCCGCCUGCAUGAAGCUGGAAUUGCUAGUAAUCGCGGAUCAGCAAGCCGCGGUGAAUACGUUCCCGGGCCUUGUACACACCGCCCGUCACACCAUGAGAGUCGGGAACACCCGAAGUCCGUAGUCUAACCGCAAGGGGGGCGCGGCCGAAGGUGGGUCCGGUAAUUGGGGUGAAGUCGUAACAAGGUAUC